AUACGUAGGGCGCAAGCGUUAUCCGGAAUUAUUGGGCGUAAAGAGCUCGUAGGCGGUUUGUCACGUCUGCUGUGAAAUCCCGUGGCUCAACCUCGGACCUGCAGUGGGUACGGGCAGACUAGAGUGCGGUAGGGGAGACUGGAAUUCCUGGUGUAGCGGUGAAAUGCGCAGAUAUCAGGAGGAACACCAAUGGCGAAGGCAGGUCUCUGGGCCGCUACUGACGCUGAGGAGCGAAAGCGUGGGGAGCAAACAGGAUUAGAUACCCUGGUAGUCCACGCCGUAAACGUUGGGAACUAGUUGUGGGGAUCAUUCCACGAUCUCCGUGACGCAGCAAACGCAUUAAGUUCCCCGCCUGGGGAGUACGGCCGCAAGGCUAAA
rnacentral:rRNA from 1 species